UUCCCUCCUUCCCUCUCUCUCUGCCUUCCCAUCUCUCAUCUUUUUUUGGAAGAUGAGAUCCUGAUGAUCCCUAGGUCUCUAGAGAACUCAUCUUCAAGGCAGAACCUCAGCAGCCAGCUCUGUGUUUGAUCAACACUUGAAGUGCCUGCAAAUACUCUUUGCUUCUCAUUUAAAUUUGUAUCGAUCUCCCAAAUGGCAAACAGGAGAACAUAAACAAAAGCCAGUCCCUGAGAAGUCAGAAUUACUGAGAAAUGAACCAGGGUCUCCUUGUGCAGAAGCGUUCUGUGGAUGGCAAGACCUGGAGGUGGGAAUACAUGGAUCAUUAAGAGCUGUCUCCUUCUUGAGAACAGGCUGCAGAAAUCUUUUAUGGGAAAGAGCUGGUUCCCCCAAGGAUGCUUCCAAUUAUCCUUUAGUGAUGCGAAGGUACUACUGGUGGGAAUUUCAGAUCCAGUGGGGUGGUGAAUAUUUGUCUUCUCACAAAAUGCUUUUCACAGGGUCUCCUUCCACAAAUGAGCAUUCUCAGCGCACUGAAUGAGACCCUGGAGGACCAGAAGAAUGAUUGCUUCUCUCCAAGGUGAUCCAGAGGUGAAUAUCAUCCCCUGGAGGAUGCCUCUGGACCGUUGAGUGGGAAACACUGCAGUGACCGAGGCAGAAGGCGCUCCAAAUGCAAAGAACAUUAUUCCAAGCAAAUGAGGGAGCCCAGCAAUUAUUUCCACUCAAAAGUUGGUAAUGAAUCGGCAUGUUUAUUUAUUCAUUCAUUAAAUGUAGGCAAACAAGCAACCAAAGAGGAAGCCGUCUGGCCAUUCUUUUAAUGAAUCUGCCCCAUUUCUGAGUGAAAUGUAGGCCAUGCAGAUGAAAUGCUGAGCUCUGGAAAUACAUUACCCACUCAGGAAGCCAUCCUUCCAGCCUUAAUUAAAGAAAAUCAACAACUCCCUUUUGCAGUGGAUGAUGAUGGAAAUCAAACCAAGGAACUGAAAUACAGACUUGCCAGCUUGCAAGCUGGGUCAGGCUUGACUGGGCUUGCAGAAGCCAGGGAACCUCAUGAAUUCAUUGGAAAGAUUGUGCCUUGGGUGGCACCAGAACCCUGUAACGUCAACAGCAGCCAAGAUACUACAGGGAAUUAAUGUCAUUAUAGGACACCAAAUAUUAAAAAAAAAAAGGACACCAAGUAUUUUUUGAUGAAGCUUUGAUGACUCAUUCAUUCAUUCGUUCAUUCCCUCAAUUUUUUAUUUGUCCAUAUGCUCAUUCAUUCAUCUACUCGUAAGCAUUUACUAAGUACCUACUA